GCAUAGAGUUUGGUUUUUGGCUCAGGAUGAACGCUGGCGGCGUGCCUAAUACAUGCAAGUCGAACGCUUUGUGGUUCAACUGAUAUGAAGAGCUUGCUCGGAUUUGAAGAUGAACAUUGCAAAGAGUGGCGAACGGGUGAGUAACACGUGGGAAACCUACCUCUUAGCGGGGGAUAACACUUGGAAACAAGUGCUAAUACCGCAUAAUACUGAUAACCGCAUGGUUAUCAGUUGAAAGAUGGUUCUGCUAUCACUAAGAGAUGGUCCCGCGGUGUAUUAGCUAGUUGGUAAGGUAAUGGCUUACCAAGGCAAUGAUACAUAGCCGAGUUGAGAGACUGAUCGGCCACAAUGGGACUGAGACACGGCCCAUACUCCUACGGGAGGCAGCAGUAGGGAAUCUUCCACAAUGGACGAAAGUCUGAUGGAGCAACGCCGCGUGUGUGAUGAAGGGUUUCGGCUCGUAAAACACUGUUGUAAGAGAAGAAUGACAUUGAGAGUAACUGUUCAGUGUGUGACGGUAUCUUACCAGAAAGGAACGGCUAAAUACGUGCCAGCAGCCGCGGUAAUACGUAUGUUCCAAGCGUUAUCCGGAUUUAUUGGGCGUAAAGCGAGCGCAGACGGUUGUUUAAGUCUGAAGUGAAAGCCCACAGCUUAACUGUGGAAGUGCUUUGGAAACUGGAUAACUUGAGUGCAGUAGAGGAGAGUGGAACUCCAUGUGUAGCGGUGAAAUGCGUAGAUAUAUGGAAGAACACCAGUGGCGAAGGCGGCUCUCUGGACUGUAACUGACGUUGAGGCUCGAAAGUGUGGGUAGCAAACAGGAUUAGAUACCCUGGUAGUCCACACCGUAAACGAUGAGUGCUAGAUGUUUGAGGGUUUCCGCCCUUAAGUGUCGCAGCUAACGCAU
rnacentral:rRNA from 1 species